AAACGACACCAACAACUGAGAUCACCACCAGCACUACAUCAGUAACAACACCAACAACAUCUUUGACAACUGGUACAACUGAGUCCACCUCCAGUUCCACAACAGUAGUAACACCAACAACUACAUCAACAACUGAGACCACUACCAGUACUAC